rnacentral:snRNA from 1 species
CGCUGCGCAAGUGUCUUUCAUGAACCUCGCUCUUGCCUUUUACCAGAACGAGCAGGAAAUGCGCUUGAUAACACGCAGUUUACCCACUCUUUGGAACAUCUCACCCAUACCGGUGU